AAGGCUGAAACAUGUUAUUUAAAACAUCCCGGGGUUUGAUGAACAGGCAGAGGGGCUGGGGCAGGGUCCAGCUCGGCUGGGGCAGCUGCUGGGCCAGCCUGGCCGUCCCACCGCUGUUCUUGUCAAUUCGGGGAGCUGCCGAGCCUGGGGGGGCAGGUUGCUGUGAAUUUAGAAAAAAAUUCAUCGCCCAAGUCCCCAGGCCAAGUUGAAAAUGAGCAAACAAACAAGAAAAAAAAGGGGAAAAAAAAUCCUUGCAAACUGGAAACCCUGCUUUUCAAGCCAGCUGUUCUCAAGAGUGAUUAAAACAAAACAAGAUCUCUGUAUUUGAAACCAAGAUUUAACAGGAAAAUCGGUCAGGAAAGAAUCUUCUCCAGCCUGAACAGUGCAACUGUGAUCAAACAGAAGAUUCAGCGAGCAGCAGAUUUUGUCUGUGUGCGUGCACGUGUGUGCUCGCACAUGUGUGUGCAUGAACUCAGAGUACAAAAAUCACAGAAAUGCAAAGCUGGCAUACAGCGAGGGCUGUUGGAAACGUUGCACGUUGAAAGACAAAAGCUGAUGUGUUCCCUAUGAAAAUGUUCUUGGCUCUGCAUUUAUUUCACCCAAGGUGUGCCUUUCUGUAUGCAUCUGGAAAGGUGAGUUAUCCAAUUUGCAGAUUAAACCAGACUCUGCCGUCUCCAGGAACACCCCUUGCUGCUCAGAAACAGAAAUAACAGAAUGUGACUUGUGGCCAAUCAUGUGAUGAAAAACUAAACAACACGAACCUCCUCCUGGACCGUCUGUGGAGAAAUCACAGGACACACUUUGUUUGUACAAGCUGUUUGAUGAAUCGUUGUGAACAAAUAGACUUGAAUCAGGCGAUUUAAAAUAAAAAUGGGUUAAAUUA